UAAAAAACGUCGCGAAAUGCUCGCGAAAAAAAUUUUCGUUUCCAUUUCGUAAGCGGUACGCAGCUCUCGCGAAAACGAUAACGAAAAAAGCAGUUAGCCGAGACACGGUUCGACAAACGAUAAGUUUCAUAAUACUUCCGCGAGAUAGCGCUGCUUUCUAUGCGCUGUCACCAAGGCAAACUUUUUCCUUGCGAAAUAAUGGUCAAUGGUAUUAUUUCGCACGGAGGCUCGCGAAAUUUUGACAGGUUGCAUUGAAAAAAUAUAAAAAAACAAAAGAUUAGUAAUUUUUUGUAUUUUUUUUUUUUCAUCGCGACCUGUCAAAAUUUCGUAGUUUUGAGAAUCAAUAUUUUGAAUUUGAAUGAAAAGUUUUGAAAUAUUAUUGGAAUUGUGAUUGUUUCUAGUAAUUAUUAUUUACAGCACACCCGAACAAAGCAGCCACAAGAGCAUUUUUCGUCACCAGCCAUCUAUCUACUUGAUAAGUUUUCAACAACAACAACCAGGUGCUACAAAUCAGCUCAACUUGACUCAACAUCCUGGAUCUGGCAAUCAGCCAACCAACAUUAAAUCGAUACAACCGUAGCAGUACCAACAACUCCAAAUCCAGCAGCUGCCAACAAUCUCUCAAAAAAGAACCACAGCAAUUACAGCUCAGAACCAACAAAGCAACAAGAGCUUUUUUACGAAUAAUGGACCCAUCGGAAACACUUUAUCGGCACAUUCUGUCGUAAAACUUGCCUGCCACUAUUCUUACCAGCGGUUACCUUCCUGAUGUAGAGAAAUCAGAGUCAAACACAAACGUCAUAUUACUGCCUUGGCUCCUACCAGUUGCUUGCAUGAAAAUAUCGCUGCCUCCACAGUGCUCGUGAUUUCAUCCCAGCAGCAGCUAGCAACCACAAUUCCAGUGCUUAUCGCCAGCAACAUCAGAAAAUUAAGAUUUCCCCCAGACCAUGACCAUCAUCCGACAGAUAGGUAGCAACGUUCAACUGACGGUACAACCUGGCCAGCAACCGCAAGUAGUGCAAUCGAUCCAAGCCAAUCAGGGCCAAAUGUAGAAGACCAUUGGUCAACUGCAAAAAAAAGAUACAUCAACAGCACCUUCAAACACAGUAGCAGCAGCAUACUGUACUGUACCACGCCGCGUGCAGGACUUUUUUUAUUCAGUUGGUGCAGCAAGAUCGAACAGCAACCAUAGCGGAUACACAUCACCGAACACCAGCAACAUAAUGCCAUGGUAACCACCCAGCAGCAGAACACGGCGAUAAUGGGCCAACAGUAAAUACAACAUCAAGAUCCUCGGAAAGGACUUUCUCUUUCGAACAAACAUAAUGGAAGCAUACUCUACACGCGCGACAUAUUCAAUCGGGCCAACCGUGUGACUCGUUUGGCAAAAAGGGCUCAUCAUCGGUUUCAUGGCAGCGAAGUGAGCAGACAAAAGAAGGCGUUUUUUUCCGAAUGGUCGCUCUGGGCAAAAGUUCAGCUAAUUGCAAGGAACAAACCACCGGAGUGACAGUAUCCGUGCUGAUUCAGGACCUUUUUCCAUAUAUUGUAGCUUUUGAAUUUUAAUUCCCGGUCGAAACGAUGGCAAGUGCUGCCGAUAACUGGGUCAAAAAGGCGGAAGGAGGAUCAGGAAAUUUCUGCACUCGGUUUUGAAUUUUUCUUUUCAAUACAAAUAGGUUGUCGAUUUGAGUAUCCCUAAGGAUAAGGAACCAGAGCCGACGGCUGACAGCCCAAAGAAAGAAAAUGCGGAAAAACCUUCUAGUUCACCGCCAGUAGAACCAGCGAUCAAAUUACUCCGGUAGAAACGGCUGCACCUGCAGUUUUGUUUUCGGUAGCUACAGAAAUUAAGACUUUAGCAGCUCCUGAAGAAAAAAAAGCUGCUAGCGAAAAUGGAGAAACAGCUUCCUCCACGGAAGAUGCAGAGGCAUUCAACCCGGCGGAUGCAAGUUUGCUAAUUAAACUUAUUCGCAAAGGUCUAGUAGAAUCAAAGCUGGAUCUGGGGGUGAAGGAUCCUUCUUCGCCGCUAUACUUGGUUAAAACUUUCGAAGCUUUGCACAUGAAUUCGGAACUGCUUCUAUGCUAUGGGUUUCAACGCUCCUUCCAAGAUUCAGAAGACGGAUCAACCUACUCUGUUGGCCGAUCCACCACAGAACAUAAUCGCCCAGAGUUGGUCGGGAACAAGAAAAACCACUGCCUUCGUGCUGGCAAUGCUCAAUCGAGAUUCAGUUGCUAGACGCGGAGAACUCGGACGAAAUUUAAAAGAUCGCACCGUAAAAUGUUUUCGACCAGCUACUGGUGAAAGGCGUAGGAGCUUUUUUGGGUCAUACUUGUUUUGAUUCUGAAUUUAUAAUUUUAUUAUAUUUUAAUUUUUUUUUUCUUCCUUGACCUGACAUAAGGUAUACAAAUGUAACCAACAGGGUAUCGUAAGCUAAUAAAUUUACAAUUACAAUUACAAUUUAUCUCUACCCAGUUCUAUCCAAACAUUUGAAAAGGGCCUAACUGCAAAAUGUAACAAAUUGAAAUUUCAUGUUUUCCAUUAACGAAUAUCUACCCGAGCACGUACAUAACGCAACAUUUGAUUAUGAAGAAUUUUGAUAGCGAUUUUACAACAAUUUAUAAAAGGGCCUAAUUGAUUUUUAUGACCGAACUGAUUAUGAAAGGACCUAGCUGAUUGAAAAGUGCCUAACUAGCAAUACACUCGUUUUAAAUGGAUUAUAACGUAUUAUUGUAUUAUGACUGAUUGUAAAAGGCUUAUAACAUCUUUUCCAUAAUUUACAUACAGGGCCAAUCUGAUUUUAUGAUGUUCAGUGGGGUCAAUCUGACCAUCAAUUUAGAAUUCAGUUAAUUCGUCUAACUUUCGGUGUAAUAUCAGACUUGAACAGCAUUUUUUGUGUGAGGUAUUCUGCCACUAGAAGCAAAACUGUCCCAUGUGCUAUGGGAAUCCCUAUACACAUGGGACAAUUAUACUUCUUGCGGCAGUAAUACAAGUACUAGCAAUAUGCGCAAUUCCUUAAACCUCUCUAGUGUUUCAUGCAAUAAGAAUUACCACGAAUUACUUAUGGCAAUAAAUUUGAAUUACGAUUCUCACAAUUGUUAUACCAAAAAUAGGUUUGUAUCCGUACUGAUUUUUGGUAGCAUUCCCUGAGACUUCCAGAACCUUUAGUAGUAGCACAGAUAACAGACGUUUAGGCUCGAUUUGAAUCGUGUGUAAAUACCCGCUGCUGAAAUUCCGAAUAAAUCAGACAUCUGAAACAUGUUUGGCAAACGUUUGCAGAUGGCGCAGUGAUCACUACAAUGCAGUUAGAACACGUGUAGCAACAAUGCUGUCGAACACGUGUAGCAAACAGUUGCGCAGAUGGCAAUAGUGAAACACGGAUUUUCAACGUAUAUCAAUUUGAAAGUUUACACAGGUUUUUGAAGAAAUUUUGUUCUAGCCUAAACGUCUGUUAUCUGUGGUAGUAGCCAUUGUUAUCAUAAUCGAUUUUUAACGUCAGCCAGAGUUUAAAGCCUAGGGUUUGGUUCGACCUGAAACCGAUUGAGUCGGAGUCGGUUGUUAUAUUUGCGUUAUAUUUCCGGAUUCCGAAACGUGUUUCGAAAGGUAGUUUCCCCGAGACUUGUGAAAGCGGUAAAGGCGGCCAAGGCAAUCAGAUUUGCUUCUUAAUGGUCAAACGCCGAUUUAGAGCUACGAUUCGGACAAUUACAAUAGAUUUGGUUUGAGCGAAUUUCGAUCAUUUCCCUGGGUCUUCUAGAACCGGUAGAAGCAGCCAAUUUAGAUAGAAAAUGGCCAGCCAAUGAUUUAAAUUUCCGAUUGCAGGAAUUGUGCAGUCUAAAUUGGUCAGACUGAACUUCCCCGAAACAUCCGGAACCGUCACAAAUAAGCAUUAUGAUUAAUCAUGCUCGAAAUAUGAUUCACGCUGAGUACGUCACUUCCCUGAGAGCUUCAUGAAUGGCAAAAAGGUUUACAAUUGUUACCGAUUUCAUACACAU